GAUGAAGAACGUAGCGAAAUGCGAUAAGUAGUGUGAAUUGCAGAAUUCAGUGAAUCAUCGAAUCUUUGAACGCACAUUGCGCCCCUUGGUAUUCCAUGGGGCAUGCCUGUUCGAGCGUCAUUUGUACCUUCAAGCUUUGCUUGGUGUUGGGUGUUUGUCUCGCCUUUGCGUGUAGACUCGCCUUAAAAUAAUUGGCAGCCGGCGUAUUGAUUUCGGAGCGCAGUACAUCUCGCGCUUUGCACUCAUAACGACAGCGUCCAAAAGUACAUUUUACACUCUUGACCUCGGAUCAGGUAGGGAUACCCGCUGAACUCAAGCAUAUCAAUAAGCGGAGGA
rnacentral:misc_RNA from 1 species